GGUAAGGUGGCUGAGUUAGGCGGUAGAUUGUAAAUCUACUUACGAGAAGAAAAAAUUUUCCCUUCCCA
rnacentral:tRNA from 1 species